rnacentral:lncRNA from 1 species
AGGCUCCUAUACUAUUUACAAUACCGAGGCUUCGGUAUUAUAGUUUUGUUUUCAAUCUUAGAAUAUUCAAGUCAAUUAACGAUCCACACCGUUGUUGAUCUAGGGUAUUUAAAAUUUUUAGAAAUAAAAUUUUAUAUUUUUUCAAUAUAGUUUACUUUAUGAUUAAAACGUUUCAAAAUUGUCAAAUUUCAAUAGCUAUUAUGGCGAGUUUCUAAUUUAACGGUGUAAAAGAAUCUAAAUUUAUUCAAAUUUUGAUAAAAAAUAUUUUAAACUAUCCAGAUCAGCAUGCUUAAUCUUGAAUUCAAAAGUCUUAUGCUCAAAUUUGAAAAAUUGUUCAAUUUUCAUCAUUCAUUUAACUAUGAUUUAAUUAUUAAGUAAACGAUAUCGAAAAAAAACUAAAAUUUUAUUCUAAGAACAUCAUAUACACUAUAUUAUAUUUAACGGUGUGGAUCGUUAAUUUGUAUAUAUCACCAACUUGGUAUCGGUUAUGUGUUGGGAUGCUCGAAACGAGGAUGAAGUCUAUAUUGUCACAUUUGCACCACAUUACCAGUAACUAGCUAAUCAUAUCUCUCUAUUUGAGAAAAAAGUAUAAUAAAAAUAUUUUUCUAUUAACCAUGAUGGGACAUAUCAAUACAAAGAAGACAAUUCUAUUGAUUGGAAUGCUACGCCAGCAAUAUAUAUACACGAUACAUUCUAGAUUUUUUUCGAAACGAGGUGCCAAAUAUGAGAUCCUAAACACACAACACGUGUUUCGUGCGAGUUUGUGUUUGAGAGAGAGAGAGAGAGAGAGAGAGAGAGAGAGAGAGAGAGAGGACACAUAUACGAUAAAUAUUAGGUGUGGCUCGAUGGUUGGGCUGCAACUAGCUCGCCGUUCGUGAGCCAGUUCGUAUUCGAUUCGAAAUAGGCUUGAAAAUGGCUCAUUCAAAAUUAACUUUAAAUAUAAAACGAGCUAAAUUUUUUACUUGAAAUAAUUUCAAACCGAGCACGAGCAGGCCUCUGCUCGUUCGUGUUCGGUUCAAAAUAGCUCGAAUAUAUAUAAAUAUAUAGAUUUGAGUUGGAAUGCCAUCAGUAGCAAAUGGGCUCAAUUGAAACCCAUUUGUUUCCGAUGAUGGAGCCUCCAAAUCGACGAUCGGCAUCGUUCAAUAUGAUCUAUACUACUUGAAAUAUCUAGAAAUCAAAUUUUAUCAAUAUUAUUCUCUUGUUCAUCAAGUUGACACAAAAAUGAACAGUUGAAAAUAAAUAUCUUUUAAACAGUGAUGAUAGAAGUAUUGUAAUCAAGAUCAAAAGUAUAGAUCUUGUUCUAAAUAGUUUGAAAAAUUUUCUAACCAAAAUUCAAUGAUUUUGAUGUCUUUACACCGUUAAAUGAGAAAAUGUCUCGUGUCAACCAAUUAAAUUUCAAAAUUUGAAAUCUUUUGAUAAUUAGGAUAAUGAUGUCGAAAAGAGUUGAAAUUUGAUUUUUAAGUACUUUAAGUGGUAUAGAUCAUGUUCAACGGUGCUGAUUGUUGAUUUGGAAGCUCCUUUAGCGAAAACAAAUAGGAAGCAAUAGAGCCUAUUUAUUACCGAUAACAUUACAGCCCAGCUCUAUAUAUCUAUACUAUAUAUAAAAGUGUAUAGGAAUUCUGACAAUGUCAAACGGAACCCAAAUAAGAAUAAAAUAUUAUUCCCUAUAUUAUACGAACGUGUAUGAUUAGUUUAUUAAAAAAAUUACAAAUAAAAACGAACGGUUAUGAUUAAUCUGUUAAAAAAUAACAUUCCUACAUAUCUAUUUUAUAUUAAAAUUUAAAUUUGAAUUUAAAUCGUGAAUUAAAUUUAAUUUUUGAUAUGAAAUUUGAAUUAACAAUUAAAUUUUUUUAAUGAUAGUGGAUCAAAAUUCAAUUUUAAAUUUUGAAAUAAAUGUGAAUUAAAUUUUGAUGCGUUUUGUUUAAAACACAUAGAUUUUAGAUCAUCAGAAAUCAAAAAAUAUAUAACAAUAUUUAAUGUAUAUAUAAAAAAAUAAAAAAUAUAGAAUAUUGUAAAUAUUUUCUAAAUAAAAUAUAACAUAUGAAUUUAUAAAAUAUAAUUUUUAUUAUAAAUUUUUAAAUAAAUAUAAUAUACAUAUUUAUAUUAAUUUAAAAUAAAUUAAAAUAAUUAUUACCUGUAUUUAUACGUACACUCAACUAGCAUAUAUAUAUAUAUAUAUAGCAGGGCUACUGUGCUUUCAGGAGCAUGGAGCCCUCCGUACUCCUGAAUCGUUUUCGAUGAUGAAAUUUUCGAAUUGACGAUCGGCUCCGUUAGACUUGAUCUAGCGUAUUUGAAGUUUCUAGAAAAUAAUUUUUGCAAUUUUUCGAUAUCAUUUACCUAGCAAUCGAAAGGAUUCAAAAUCAAUAAUUUUUAACGACUGAAAAUAAAAAUCAUAUAAAAAGUGGUGAUAUAGCACUAAAAUUUUCGAUCAGAAAUAUUGAUAUUGUUGUAGAUAGUAUAAAGAAUUUUGUAUCAAAAUUUCAUCUGAUUUGAAUACUUCUACAUCGUUAAACUUGAAAACGGCAGAUAUCAACCAUUAAAAAUUAUUGAUUUUGAAUCAUUUCGAUUGCUAGGUAAAUGAUAUCAAAAAAUCGCAAAAAUUACUUUAUAGAAACUUCAAAUACGCUAGAUCAAGUCUAACAGAGCCGAUCAUCGAUUCGAAAAUUCCAUUAUCGAAAACGGCUCAGGAGCACGGAGGGCUCCGUGCUCCUAAUAGUACACAAGACCUACUAUAUAUAUAUAUAUAUAUAUAUAAUUAAAAAUAUAAAAUUUAAAAUAAUGUUAAUUUGAGCACCUAUGUUGAUUAUAAUUAUGUUGAUUGUAGUUUUAUUUGUAUGUUAAUUGUAAUUUUGGAGAGUGGUAUUUUAUUUAGAUUGUAGUUAUAAUGGUAAUUAUAGCUAAAUUUAUAUAGUGUAAUAUUAGCAAAUAUUUAUAAAUAUUUUAGAAUUAAGAAAAAUAAAGAAGAAAAAAAAAAGAAUUACAAGCUAUAAACGAGUCGGCUCGAAAUCAAAUAAUUUUGAACCAAAUUCGAACAUGACUUGAAAUUAGCUCGAAAAAUAAAAAUGAAAUUUUUUUUUCAAGCCGCUCGAAUUCGGAUCGAUUUGGAUUUCAAGCUGAAUUCGAACAGGUCUUAUUCUGGCUUGAAAUUAAUUCGAGCCGAUUCGAAUUCGGUUAGAAUUUAAUACGAGCCAAAUACGAGCAAGCCGCGCUAGCUCGUGUU